rnacentral:rRNA from 1 species
GACGAACGCUGGCGGCGUGCCUAACACAUGCAAGUCGAGCGGAGAUAAUCGAGAAGGCAACUUUAAGGAUAUCUUAGCGGCGGACGGGUGAGUAACACGUGGGCAACCUGCCUUUUACAGGGGGAUAACACUGGGAAACUAGUGCUAAUACCGCAUAAAACAUAUUAUGGGCAUCUGUGAUAUGUCAAAGGAGUCAAAUCCGGUAAAAGAUGGGCCCGCGUCCGAUUAGCUAGUUGGUGGGGUAAGGGCCCACCAAGGCGACGAUCGGUAGCCGGACUGAGAGGUUGACCGGCCACAUUGGGACUGAGACACGGCCCAGACUCCCACGGGAGGCAGCAGUGGGGAAUAUUGCGCAAUGGGGGGAACCCUGACGCAGCGACGCCGCGUGAAGGACGAAGGUUUUCGGAUUGUAAACUUCUUUGGCCGGGGACGAAAAAAUGACGGUACCCGGUUAACAAGCCACGGCUAACUACGUG